GCGGGGGUAGCCAAGCCAGGUCAACGGCGCCAGUCGAAAGGGCGCAACUCAAGAUCUGGCAAGGCAGAAGAGAUCUGGUCUCUUAGGAGUUCGGGGGUUCAAAUCCCCUCCCCCGCA
rnacentral:tRNA from 1 species